CGUACCAGCAAACGCCCACGUGCUGCUGGUGCUAGCUUUGUAUUUCAUGCUGCUGGCAUUUUUUCCUUCUUGUAGAUUCUUACUCUAAAACGUAGGUGCGGAUUCUUUGCCCAGUGCGGGGAGGGGGGGGGACUUACUCCCUUCCUCCUCCCACACUAACAUGUCUUAGAGCAUCCAUUACGACUUCUCCUUUGUGCUGCCGUUCUGUCUACCCUACAGGAUGGCAGGGAAGCUGUUUGCCAUAUAAGAAAUCAUUUUCUCCCUAGAAACAAUAGCUCGGCUUCAUGAAGCAGCUGGCAUGUGCGGUCAAGUGGAGAGCUGUACUAUUGAAGUUGGAUUUAGUAUUACAUGUACUGGACCUUCCUUCAGACUGUUAAGAAUCAAUGUGACUCUUUUUUUUUUUACUGUUUAUGUAAACAACUAAUAUACACUGCACGCUUCCCACACAGGUGUUCAUUCCUAAACUUCCUGCGUAGACAAUUGUUAGUUUAACAAUUUCCUCACUGUUAUAACACUUUUGAGUGGGAAUCUUUCCACGUAAAGCCCUAGAAUGAUAGUGCUACAGUGAUUCUUCCAAAUUAACUUCUUCUUCCUUCCUGCCUGCCAGCUUUGGCCAGUACCACAGUCAUAGCAGGAAACGGGUACAGAAAUAAGAUGAUUAAGACAUAAUCGGGCUGGCAUGGUGGUGCAUUGCCUUUGAUCCAAGCAUUUUGGGGGGCAGAAGCCAAGUGGCUCUCUGUGUUCAAGGGCAGUCUGUUGUACACAGUGAGCUCCAGGCCAGCCAAGGCUAUGCAAUGGAGACCCUGUCUUAAAACAAGGAAAGAAAGAGUAGUGGAUGCAUUCAGACUGGCUCAGCCACGAGCCCCACACGCAGCACAAGAAACAGCCUAGUUAAAAAUGCCCCCACUAAUGUCCUGGAAAGAAGAAUCUCCUGAGGAAAAGGCAGUCAUCAUACUUGCUAAAGAGUACAUGUUUAACAUUUCAUUAAAAUCACUCCAAGCCUGCACUAAAUACCAAUCAAGUGUUAUUCUGCUCAUUUCUGGGUUGCGCUUUUCUGAGCAACAAACUACGGGGAAAUUCUGUGAAAACAAACAAUUCAAGACUUUUCCUUUUUUUAAAAAAAAUGAAUGACUGCUGUAUUAAAUAUAUGAAUAUAUAAGCUUUUUUUUAAUUUAAACACACUUCUGGCAAGGUUAUAGAUGAUUAACCUCUGUUCAUAGACUUAUAUAUGGAAGUAGAAUUUUUUGUUUACUUUGAAAAUGUUUCAAGUGCAAUUGUUUCUUAUAAAACAUGGUUGAUUACCAUUAAAUUCUCAUGGUAGCUGGUUAUCUGCAAAUAUAUAGAAUGUAUUCCCCGUCUCUUCUUGUGAUGUUUAGUGUGCUUAUUUUAAAGCAGCAACAUUAGCUACAAGUGUCUUGCAAUAUUUUUACCAACAAUAAAAUUAAGUAGAUACUUAAUAAAAAUUCCUUAGUGUGAUUUUAAUAUUAUUUUGAGAUUUGGGUUGAGUACCGCUUGAAAUAUAAAAAGGCCCAUUAUUUAAGGGAUAAGACCUUUCAAUAAAAUACUGACAAGAUC
rnacentral:lncRNA from 1 species